AUACUACAUGAUAUCGUGCCCAGCGCAUUUUUAAUUUGUGCUUUGUUUUGGGUUUCAGCGCUCUGGCUAGCAGUGUGUCCAUCUUAUUCGAUUUCUCAUAAGAGUCACUUGGAGCGAACAACAUCUCUGCAAAUGUCAUCUAGGAUAAGGUCUUUUAUCAUAUGUCUGAUGACCUGUAGCUCUCGUAGUUUAUUUUGCGUGGGUGAUUGUUUGUGUUGCAUUUUUUUUGCGUAGAGCUCUUUGGAGUUCUGAUAGUCAUUCUGUUUUGUGUUUUUUGUGUUG